AUUCAUAUACAUUCAUAUUGAAGCAGGUUUUUGUUUUUUUGUUGUUGAUUAAGCACGGAGUUUGCUUUGUUUUAAUUUUUUUCUCAACUUGUGAUAUUUUGACAAGUGGAGUACUGUAUUACUGCAAGGGAAGCAGUCAAUCAAAGCGGAAGGUUGUGAAUGCAAAAGACGAAGCGGAACAAAUAUUUAAGGAGUUUCAUGCCAGUGCUUUUGGUGCCCACUGUGGCAUAGUUAAAACCAGAGACGCUAUCACCAGAAGGUUUUACUGGCCAGGCAUCACAAAAGACAUCGAUAAGUGGGUCAGUCAAUGUGUGCAACGCCAGCAAAGUGCACUGACAAUUAAGCAGGAGACAAUACCCAUCCCAAUUGAAGUGAGUCAACUGUUUGAGCUUGUUGGGAUGGACCUUAUAGGAAAGGUGGUUAAGACAGAGUCUGGGAACCAGCACAUUGCAGUCAUGGUUGACUAUUUUACAAAAUGGUCUGAAGCCUAUCCUUUACCGUCUAAAACAGCAGCAGAUGUUGCACAAUGCAUUUUGAAGUUCUUUUAUCGCUUUGGGGCCCCUAAGCGAAUCCUGACCGACCAGGGGAAAGAAUUUGUCAAUGUGUUGCUAAAUACUUUUGAGUGUUAUGGACCGAUGUAUGAUGCAAUAUGAAAAUGUUGAACAAGGACAUUUGCAAAAUGCUGGACAUUGAGCGCAGCCUUUGUGCUCCCUAUCAUCCUCAGACCAAUGGGCUAGUAGAAAAGCUCAAUGGGACAAUUCAAAGACACAUAGAUUGGCCUCCCUUACAUUCUUCUCCAAGUGUUGAUGCCAUUAUUCUCUGUGAAGUUGGAAAUUGUUCAUCUUAUGCUGGUGUGAUCUUCUGCUCCCCUGGAGUUAAUGGCCUGCUGCAGUGGAAUCCCUUUGUGUGACCCCUCACUGUUUUGUGACAUCAAUUACUGAAUGGGUUAUCAUUUUCUUUAGGUCAAAUACUCCCAGGACUGGAUUGGUAAAUUUGUCCACAUUGGCACAGUGGCUGGCAGCUUAUUUCAGUUAAUUUAGCAAGCAAAUGAUAAAAUGUUGUUUUUCAGAGCACUGUGCAAACUUGUGAGCGAGCGACCAAACACUUGGGACACCUACUUGGAUGCUGUGAUGUUUGGACUCAGAACCAAAAAACAAUACACAACAAAGUUUUCACCAUAUUUCCUCCUCUUUGGAACAGAGGCUCGUCUGCCAUGUGAGGUUCCAGAGAACAUCCUGAUUGACAGCAAGAUUGAAGACACUCUGGGGAAGGAGUCGGUGUUGGAGGCAAUAAAAAACGGGACACAAUUUUCCAACUAGUUCAGCAAAACAUAAAAAGAGCUCAUCAAAAAUACAAGACCACAACUCAUAAAUAAGAAAGGUUGGAGAAAAGGUUCUACGACUCAACAUAAGAAGCCAACAGCGUAAGGGUGGCAAACUUGAGAAAAACUGGACCGGCCCAUACACCAUUGUUAACCUAAUCAACAAAAGUGCAGAUCUCCAAUCCCCAACCGCUUUUCUGCCAAAAGUGAACAUAGAUCAGCUUCGGUUAUUCAUUGAACAAGAACCAAUAAUCCCUCAGAACAUUAUAAAAACUGGAAAACCUGCUUCCACCCCUCAACUUGCUGGGGAUCCAGCCUCCACCCCUCAACCUGCUGGGGAUCCAGCCUCCACCCCUCAACCUGCUGGGGAUCCAGCCUCCACCCCUCAACCUGCUGGGGAUCCAGCCUCCACCCAUCAACCUGCUGGGGACCUUGCUUCCACCCCUCAACCUGCUGGGGAUCCAGCCUCCACCCUUCAAGGUGUUGAAGCUGCUACGGAUCCUGCCGUGCCUCCAUUUUCAGGCUCUACAAAAGUAGAGCAGGAUAUCCGGAAAGCCUGGGAUGGCAUGACAGCGGCUGUUCUUCUUUCUAAAAUUGGGCCUUAUAAGCUGUUUUACUUUGAUAUUUUCAGAACAGCACCAGGGAGGGAACUCGAGAGCGAGCUGAUCAAUGCCUACAUGAAAUGUUUGGAGAGAAAGCAUAAUACAUCCUCAGCAGAGAAAGUGCUGUGUAUCGACUCGUUUGGCAUAUCUGCUGUGUGGCAAAAAAAAAAAGUGGGAUCCAACAGACUACAGCACUUUAUGUGGCAUUGUUAAUGACAAACAUCACUGGUUUGUCAUUAUUAUAUUUCCGAAACAGAGAAAAUCUCUUCUUCUGGACUCACUUGGGGAAAGUAGUUAGAAGUUGAAGAGAUGUCAAGAAAUAUCAAGAGCUCUUGUGAAGAAACAGGGCAUGAAUGUGUCAAGGUGGGAGUGCAACACACUUCCACAUCCCCUACAACCUGACUCCAGCUCUUGUGGCGUGUUUGCCAUAAAGGUAUUAAAAAAUGUACUCCUAUAUUCACUUGAGAUACAUGUUGGGCUAUAUGUAUUUUGUGUUUGUACUUCAAUUUGAAAAGAAAAUACUUGAUGGACAACAUCCUGUUUUUCCUGCUGGACGUAAGGAUGUGGAAAUGCUACGUUGGCAGAUUGCAGUCACUGUGCUGGAGGCAUCAGAUGACUUGACAGAUAUCUGCUGCAUCUGUGGACAGAAAGACGAUCCCAAAGAGAAGAAGAGCAUAAUUUGGAUAUCCUGUGAUGUGUGCUUGAGGUGGUUUCACCAUGUUUGCUGUGGAUGUCCAAACACAUCAGCAGCUUUUAUUUGUAAGGCCUGUUGAGGAAAGAUGACUUGUUGAAGUUUUUCACAACUCUGCAAUUUGUUCAGUGUUUAUUUACAGGUGGAAUUACACCACUUGUUGUUAUACUAUUAUUUAUUUUAGAUUUUAAAAAUAAGCACAUUGUAUUUAUGUUGAAUACUUAUCUUAAUUGAAUGACCUAUGUUUAAACAACAUGUUCUUGAAAGUUUGACAAUAUCUUUUAAUUUUUAAACCUAAAAACGAUUAUCCCUGUGGUGUUUUGUAAUGAGGUAUCUGUAAAUUUGUCUAGUUUUAAUUUUUGACCAAUGGAAUGUAAUUUCUGCAUCAAAUGACUGUAUAGCUAUGAGAGAUUAUAUUUUUCCGAUCUUACUGAGCACAACACUUUCCACAGGGAAAAAUUGCCCAAAGUCUGUUUUUCUCUUCCAAAAUUUGAUUAAGGCUUAUUUUCUGCCCAGCUAAAUUAAAUUCCUGCCUAAAAUUACUCUGUUUGAUUCAAACGGAUUGCAUUUUACCGAUCUUCCCGAAGGUUGUUGGUCACACACUUAAAGAAAAUGGCCAAAAUGUCUGAAAACUGGUCAUGUGUCAUUACGUCAAAAUCAUAAACUAUUAUUUUUUAUAACAUAUACAAGUAUUAUGUGCUGUACUUGAAGCU